rnacentral:rRNA from 1 species
GAUGAACGCUAGCGGCAGGCUUAAUACAUGCAAGUCGUGGGGCAGCAGGUUUGUAGCAAUACAGAUGCUGGCGACCGGCAAACGGGUGCGGAACACGUACAGAACCUUCCUUUGAGCGGGGAAUAGCCCAGAGAAAUUUGGAUUAAUACCCCAUAGUAUAAUGAAGUGGCAUCACUUUAUUAUUAAAGAUUUAUCACUCGAAGAUGGCUGUGCGGCUGAUUAGGUAGUUGGCGGGGUAAAGGCCCACCAAGCCUGCGAUCAGUAACUGGUGUGAGAGCACGACCAGUCACACGGGCACUGAGACACGGGCCCGACUCCUACGGGAGGCAGCAGUAAGGAAUAUUGGUCAAUGGAGGCAACUCUGAACCAGCCAUGCCGCGUGGAGGAUGAAGGUCCUCUGGAUUGUAAACUUCUUUAUAUGGGACGAAAAAAGGCUUUUCUAAGUCGUCUGACGGUACCAUAUGAAUAAGCACCGGCUAACUCCGUGCCAGCAGCCGCGG